rnacentral:rRNA from 1 species
AGAGUUUGAUUCUGGCUCAGAACGAACGCUGGCGGCAGGCUUAACACAUGCAAGUUGAACGGGAUUUGCUAAGUGCUUGCACGGAGCAAUGAGAGUAGCGCACUGGUGAGUAACACGUGGGAACAUGCCUUUUGGUGGGGGACAACAGAGGGAAACUUCUGCUAAUACCGCAUAAGCCCUAAGGGGGAAAGAUUAAUUGCCGAAAGAUUGGCCCGCGGAAGAUUAGGUAGUUGGUGGGGUAAAGGCCUACCAAGCCGACGAUCUAUAGCUGGUCUGAGAGGACGAACAGCCACAUUGGAACUGAGACACGGUCCAGACUCCUACGGGAGGCAGCAGUGAGGAAUAUUGGGCAAUGGAGGAAACUCUGACCCAAGCCAUGCCGCGUGAGUGAAGAAGGUUUUCGAAUUGUAAAGCUCUUUCGGAUACGAGGAUGAUGACGGUAGUAUCUAAAGAAGCCCCGGCAAACUUCGUGCCAGCAGCCGC